GAUGAACGCUGGCGGCGUGCUUAACACAUGCCAGUCGAACGAUGAAGCCCAGCUUGCUGGGUGGAUUAGUGGCGAACGGGUGAGUAACACGUGAGUAACCUGCCCUUAACUCUGGGAUAAGCCUGGGAAACUGGGUCUAAUACCGGAUAGGAGCGCCUACCGCAUGGUGGGUGUUGGAAAGAUUUAUCGGUUUUGGAUGGACUCGCGGCCUAUCAGCUUGUUGGUGAGGUAAUGGCUCACCAAGGCGACGACGGGUAGCCGGCCUGAGAGGGUGACCGGCCACACUGGGACUGAGACACGGCCCAGCCUCCUACGGGGGGCAGCAGUGGGGAAUAUUGCACAAUGGGCGAAAGCCUGAUGCAGCGACGCCGCGUGAGGGAUGACGGCCUUCGGGUUGUAAACCUCUUUCAGUAGGGAAGAAGCGAAAGUGACGGUACCUGCAGAAGAAGCACCGGCUAACUACGUG
rnacentral:rRNA from 1 species